rnacentral:tRNA from 1 species
GGUAGAAUGGCCGAAUGUGUAGGCGGUGGGUUGUAGCCCCAUAAAUAAAGGUUUAAUUCCUUUUUCUACCA